ensembl:misc_RNA Metazoa_SRP Metazoan signal recognition particle RNA
GCCAGGUGUGGUGGCGCGCGCCUGUAGUCCCAGCUACUCGGGAGGCUGAGGCAGGAGGAUCGCUUGAACUCAGGAGGCGGAGACUACAGUGAGCUGAGACUGUGCCAUUGUACUCCAGCCUGGGUGACAGAGCGAGACUCCGUCUCAA